UGGAGUACAGCGUAACUUGAGAAAAGCUACGAAAUAUAGUUUUGUUUACCUUGUUACAUUGUUAAGGAGAGAGCUCUAACUUGUAUUUUUAACUCAUGCAGGUGUCGGGUUGUCUGUAUUUCUGUAAGUUGGUUAUUCCGUAUUACUUGACCACGGCUAUUGGCUUGGUGUUGAUUGUUUCAUUCACUUCAUGCUUCGUGUACGAGCAAUACGAGAAGAAAUUUGACGUGAUAACGAGAGUUGCAUUCACCAUUGCUAGCAAACUGCCGAUACCUUUGAGCUCCGUCUCCCCAAACUCUAAGCCUUCAUUAGAUAGUCGGCAGUGAGUAAUCUUACGUUUUUUGUAACUUGUCGUCCCGUGCAAUACUGUAGCUUCUGUAGAUAUUGUAUUUUAGCUUCUAUAGUUUACAUUGAUAUAUACAUAUAUAUAUACCAAAAUAUUUUUUCUUUUCGCUCG